AUUAACCUUCAGGGCGGGGUGACCCUCCUUCGCCGAGGCUUCGGCGGGCAGAGAAUUCCCCACCGGCGGUAUACCCCGCGAGCUUGAAAGAGCACGAUCCGGUUUGAUUCCGGAGGCGACAGUAUAGUCUGGAUGAAAGAAGGCGAAA
rnacentral:ncRNA from 2 species